rnacentral:lncRNA from 1 species
UUGAAAUUGCAACAAACAACUGACCAUGUGAAAACACUGGCGACAGAAGAUAUAUCCCAACAUGCUUUAAAGAUUGUCCCUGACUCUUAUUAAUAGUCAUCGCAAAGAAAUAAUUAUAGGAAAUUGUCUCCGUUGAAAUUUAAAAGGAAUUCUCACGUCAGAUGGUGUCAGAGAAAAUCUAGGUAUGAAAACCUGAUCACCAAUAUUACUUUCUGAAAUAAAUUUUCCUUCAAAAGCACGUUUUCUCAAUCUCGUAAUAAUAAGUCUUGUUCC